rnacentral:rRNA from 1 species
GAUGAACGCUGGCGGCGUGCCUAAUACAUGCAAGUCGAGCGAACGGACGAUAAUCUUGCUUCUCUGAUGUUAGCGGCGGACGGGUGAGUAACACGUGGAUAACCUACCUAUAAGACUGGGAUAACUUCGGGAAACCGGAGCUAAUACCGGAUAAUAUUUUGAACCGCAUGGUUCAAAAGUGAAAGACGGUCUUGCGGUCACUUAUAGAUGGAUCCGCGCUGCAUUAGCUAGUUGGUAAGGUAACGGCUUACCAAGGCAACGAUGCAUAGCCGACCUGAGAGGGUGAUCGGCCACCCUGGAGCUGAGCCACGGUCCAGACUCCUACGGGAGGCCGCAGUAGGGAAUGUUCCGCAAUGGGCGAAAGCCUGACGGAGCAACGCCGCGUGAGUGAUGAAGGUCUUCGGAUCGUAAAACUCUGUUAUUAGGGAAGAACAUAUGUGUAAGUAACUGUGCACAUCUUGACGGUAACUAAUCAGAAAGCCACGGCUAACUACGUG